AUGCUUCCUCUCCUCCACUGUUGCUCAAGGUCCACAGUUUACCAGUCCCAGGCGAGUGUGCAGGAGGACCAAGUCCAGGUCCUGAGCACCCAGGAACAGCACUUACCCACCCAGGCACUUGGCUCACCCAGACACAGUGCUCGCCCAGACACGGUGCUCAUCCAGGCACAGUGCUCACCCACCCAGGCACAGUACUUACCCAGGCACAGUGCUCACCCGUCCAGGCACAGUACUCACCCAGGCACAGUGCUCACCCAGGCACAGUAUUCACACAGGUACAGUGCUCACCUGCCUAGGCACGUUGCUCACCCAGGCACAGUGCUCACCUGCCCAGGCACAGUGCUUGCCUAGCCAGGCACAGUGCUCACCUGCCCAGGCACAGUGCUCACCCAGGCACAGUGCUCACCUGCCUAGGCACGUUGCUCACCCAGGCACAGUGCUCACCUGCCCAGGCACAGUGCUCACCCACCCUGACAGUGCUUGCCAGGCCCGUGCCAGGCUCCGCAGUGCCGCUCUGCGCUGUGUUCUUCAGAAGUGAUUCCACAGCCACGUGCCCCAUCAAUCACCAGUGCCUUCUUGGCAUUGCCUUCCUUGUGCUCAAAGGUGUUUGCAUGUCCCUUUCUAAAAAAGCAAGGAGCUACCUGGAGAGACCUGUCUGGUGAGUCUCAUAACACACAUUCUUAGAAGGGUGACAAUAGCUCGUCCUAGCUCUUCAUCUCUGCCGUGGUGAAGGGCAUGAGAUAAAGGCAGCACCAGCUUCGUGGCUCAGCAAGUCGCCCAGAGCAGCCCCACCAGGUCUGCAGCAGCUCCCAGGACGUUCCAGCAUCUCCUCACUAGAUGGCGACGACCUCACAAGUUCGUAAUCCAUUGAGCCAGCACUUGUCCUAAGGCCAGCAAUUGCUUCCAGCAGUUUCUUUAGGGGAAAAAAGGCUGAGCAGGGCCUUGCCUUGUGGCUGAAACCAUCCCUGCACUGGUCCUCAUAGGAGAGGCCGAAGCUGGAGCCUGAGCUCGGGGCAUGCUGACCCAAGGGGCCUUGCCCUGCCCUCCCCUGAGCUGUGGUUCCCACUCCUGCAUUGUCUGCCAAGCAGAGGGAAAGGCGCAGCUGCAAACCACCUUCACUCGCAGUGAAGAAAAGUAAAUCUGCUCCAGACAGGAGCCCCCAGAGCCCUCGCCGGGACCCAUCCCACCCUGAGCAGCACGGGCCUCAGGAGGCAACCAGGCCCUGAGACAAGGCCUUACAGCAGCACCAGUCCAGUGUGGUCAGCAACCAGGUCUCCUCCCUAAUACCGAACCCCGUCUCAUAAGUCAGCUUUAUCAUAUCGCUCAUACCCCUCCUCCUUCUCGCCCCCAUCCCCUUCUCUCUUCACUCUCUCUUCCCCCCUUUCUCCCCUUCUUCCCCACUCUCUCUUCCUCUCUUCCCCCUCCUCCUCUCCUUCUCCCUCUCUUCCUUUCCUUUUCCCUCUCCCCUUCUUCCCCUUUCUCCCUGUCUUUCUCUCCCUCCUCCUCUUUCCCUUUCCCUCCCCUCUCCCUCCCCCUCUUUCCUUCUUUCUGUCUCCUCCUCUCCACACCUGUCCUU
rnacentral:lncRNA from 1 species